rnacentral:rRNA from 1 species
UACGGAGGGUGCGAGCGUUGUCCGGAAUCACUGGGCGUAAAGGGCGCGUAGGCGGUCUGCUAAGCGUGCGGUGAAAGCCUGGGGCUCAACCCCAGGUCUGCCGUGCGAACUGGUGGACUAGAGCACUGUAGAGGCGGGUGGAAUUUCGGGUGUAGCGGUGGAAUGCGUAGAGAUCCGAAAGAACACCGGUGGCGAAGGCGGCCUGCUGGGCAGUUGCUGACGCUGAUGCGCGACAGCGUGGGGAGCAAACAGG